rnacentral:rRNA from 1 species
AGCGAACGCUGGCGGCAGGCCUAACACAUGCAAGUCGAACGAACCCUUCGGGGUUAGUGGCGGACGGGUGAGUAACACGUGGGAACGUGCCUUUAGGUUCGGAAUAACUCAGGGAAACUUGUGCUAAUACCGAAUGUGCCCUUCGGGGAAAGAUUUAUCGCCUUUAGAGCGGCCCGCGUCUGAUUAGUUAGUUGGUGAGGUAAAGGCUCACCAAGGCUACGAUCAGUAGCUGGUCUGAGAGGAUGACCAGCCACAUUGGGACUGAGACACGGCCCAAACUCCUACGGGAGGCAGCAGUGGGGAAUCUUGCGCAAUGGGCGAAAGCCUGACGCAGCCAUGCCGCGUGGAUGAUUAAGGUCUUAGGAUUGUAAAAUCCUUUCACCGGUGAAGAUAAUGACUGUAGCCGGAGAAGAAGCCCCGGCUAACUUCGUGCCAGCCGCCGCGGUAAUAC